GGGGCUGAACGGUUUCGACAGAUGUUAUUUGACAAUAAAGUGCAACAGAGAUUGAGUAUGUCUCGCGACAAAAGACUCGUAAUUCAAAUGGCGAUAAAUCGCUACAAGGGUUGGAAAUAGAUUGGCACUUAGCUAAUGCAGAAAUGGGAUUUGAUAAUUUCGUUUCUGAUUCCCAACCAACUCACGUUUACGCGUAAGUUACUGAGUUAGUCCACACUCGGUCAUAAAAUAAGAUGGACGCGAUCGCCAACACAAGGAGGCAUUAAACCUUGUUAGUUAAACCAUUCUGAGUAAAAUGGGAUAUGGUGGGUUGUUAGAUAACUACCGAUUUGGAAUCUAACUAAGUUGUGAAUGACUUUAUCGAUUAAACAUUUGGACGUGGGUUCGAAUCCCACCAGCUCCACAA
rnacentral:tmRNA from 1 species